rnacentral:rRNA from 1 species
AUACGUAGGGUGCAAGCGUUAAUCGGAAUUACUGGGCGUAAAGCGUGCGCAGGCGGUUUUGUAAGACAGUGGUGAAAUCCCCGGGCUCAACCUGGGAACUGCCAUUGUGACUGCAAGGCUGGAGUGCGGCAGAGGGGGAUGGAAUUCCGCGUGUAGCAGUGAAAUGCGUAGAUAUGCGGAGGAACACCGAUGGCGAAGGCAAUCCCCUGGGCCUGCACUGACGCUCAUGCACGAAAGCGUGGGGAGCAAACAGGAUUAGAUACCCUGGUAGUCCACGCCCUAAACGAUGUCAACUGGUUGUUGGGGAUUUAUUCUCUCAGUAACGAAGCUAACGCGUGAAGUUGACCGCCUGGGGAGUACGGCCGCAAGGUUAAAACUCAAAUGAAUUGACGGGG